rnacentral:rRNA from 1 species
AUUGAACGCUGGCGGCAUGCUUUACACAUGCAAGUCGAACGGCAGCGCGGGCUUCGGCCUGGCGGCGAGUGGCGAACGGGUGAGUAAUACAUCGGAACGUGCCCAGUAGUGGGGGAUAGCUCGGCGAAAGCCGGAUUAAUACCGCAUAAGACCUGAGGGUGAAAGCGGGGGAUCUUCGGACCUCGCGCUAUUGGAGCGGCCGAUGGCAGAUUAGCUAGUUGGUGGGGUAAAGGCCUACCAAGGCGACGAUCUGUAGCUGGUCUGAGAGGACGACCAGCCACACUGGGACUGAGACACGGCCCAGACUCCUACGGGAGGCAGCAGUGGGGAAUUUUGGACAAUGGGCGAAAGCCUGAUCCAGCAAUGCCGCGUGUGUGAUGAAGGCCUUCGGGUUGUAAAGCACUUUUGGCGGGAACGAAAAGGACUGUGCCAAUACCACGGUUCGAUGACGGUACCCGCAGAAUAAGCACCGGCUAACUACGUG